CCCCUCGUGCUGCGCUCCUGCACCCGGGCUGCAGGUCCCGGGCAGCGGUCCCCUCGCCCCUUUGGCAAAUCGCUGGGGGUGUCUGGCGGCAGACUCUGUCCUUAGCGUCUCUUCUGUUGCUCCUCUCUCUCUCCUUCUCUUUCAGUAAAAGUAGCUGCAGUGGGGCGCCGGGCAGGGUCCGAUGGAGCUCAGCUCGCGCGCCGGGGCGUCUCUGCCGCGCUAUACCUGCUCCGAGGGCGAGGGCCCGGAGGGAGGCGCGUGCGCUCUGCUCGGUCGGCUCCGAAGGGCUUUGUGCCGGGGCUUUCUUCCAAAGCAGCCUCCGCCGAGGCUCCGGGCGAUGCCUCCUCCCCUUGGGCGACUCCCUCAGUAGCCAGCUCGCCCUCGCUCGGAGCUCUUUCCGGGCCCCUGAAUCUCCCAGUACGCCUCAGACAAUCUGUUGUGCAUUUUGGUUUCUCAUCUGCAGAACUGGGACUUCUGUGUGCAAAGAUGUCCUCCUUCCCAGGGGAGGAGGAGAAGUUCCAGGAGCCUUCUGUUCCUAGAACAAGUGGGGGCCCGGGGUGGCGAGAGCAAGGUUCCCUGGCUCACUUUGGGGUCCCAGAACCACAGGCUGUUCCUGCUAUGACUCUGAGUGUUUCCCUCUUCUCUCCAGUAGCGGAAGCAGAUGAGCCUCGGGGAGUCACUGGAGAAGUAUGUAACGGAAGGUCACAAGCUCACAAAGCAUUUUAAAUACAAACCUGCCGUAUGUGUAUUUAACAGAGUGUCUGAGGGAAUAUAGUCCACUUUGCCUGGCUAGGGGUUUAUGCAGCACCAGACCUGUGGGAGGUCACUUUGAAAAAGUCCCUGACUCACAGACGCUCUGCUAAUUCUUAUGCUCAGCUGAUUUAGGGGCAGGAGAUGGCCCAAACAAACCUUGCCGACGUCCACAAAGAUUUUCGGGAUGGCCUUCAAUUUAGGACAGUGAAUCAGAAGAGAACCUGUUUUGAAGUUUGCAGAACUCCCGGCUGUCACACGUCCCUGGAGACAUAUUGAGGAUGGGGAUAGAGGAGAUGGCCUGAAUGUGAAAAGAAGGGAAAUUGAACUGUACAUUCCUUUAAAGGUGCUAAAAAUUAGAACCCGAGAGACUGGCCUUUUGAUGCUAAUUCAAUAGUUAAAUAUCAUGUAUUAUUUUGCAUACUUGUGUUGUUGGAACUGUGACAAGAGGUGGAAUUUUCCUUAUGCCUAACAGUGCAAGGAAGGCAGUAAGUAUCAAUCAGAAAAGGAACAAAGGUUAUCAACACCUUUACCUUAUGAUUGUUUUCCCUUACAUAUAAGAAUUACCAUUUGUAACCUUCCUUUUUCUGUGGGAGAACUGUCUUCUUCACACCGCACUGUGCGCGCGCGCGCACACACACACACACACACACACACACACACACACAGUGUCCCCAUCUGUUGUUGCAAAAUGUUUAGUUGCGAGUGACGUGAGUUCAUCACUUUGAACCAGAAAAGCCACAGAUAACCAGAUAAUCCCAACAGUGAUUGUCUUGAGAAGAAGCCACCCUUAUUUUUCUGUGCCUGUCUUCAUCAGCUUGCUGGCCUUCUUGCUUAGCACCACAGUUCCUGAAUAUAUGAACCAUAAAAUGUGGUGGAUUUCAGGCUAUGGGAGGCUCCCUUUGAAAUGACUCCAGAGUCUUCUUUCCAAUCUGGGUUACUUGAGCUGGACGGGGUGAGAUUGCAAAAGGGAUGUAAAAAAGCAAUUUGGGGAACAGCUUCGGGGAAAUAAACAUGAAAAGAGACACUUACUUUUUACCCUGUGCCCUGCAGACGUACGUUAGUCUGGAUGGAACAGGAGUGACAGUGUAAAUAAAUAAGCACACCCAGUGAGAGACUGUGGUUCAUGAGCCGUCCUAGGGAAGAAGUGCUAGGUAGUGGGCAGGAAAAGUUUGUCAAGGAAUAGGCAGUGUUCAGAGGAAACAUAAGGGAGGCAUUAAACCAACUCAUUGCUGUGCUUUAGAAUAACUUUUUUCUGACCCGUGUUCUUUUACUAUUAAAUGUGUGUUUACUUGCCUGGCCAAGUCUUAAACUCCCUCAACUGUCCUAGAAGCUCACAGAACACACAUUAUGGCCUAUUUGGUGCAACACAGAACCUACUUUUUUUUUCUUCCAGUAAAGAAACCAACACCCAAAGAAGGCUGUAGCUGGAAAUGGAUUUCAAGGCUCAAAUCCAAAGCAAGUUAGCAGCCCUAGGCUCAGAGUGGAGGUGGACAGUUUCUUCUUGUUUUUCUAUUAGAAAAAGAAAGAAAGAAAAGAAAAGAAAUCCCAGGGGAUUUGGGUAAGCAGGCGGUCAAGAGACUCAGGCUGGAAGUAUCCUUUGGAUGAUGAGAAAGGGUUGUGUCCAGUCUAGAUACUGAAACAUCUCCUGUGGCCUCUUCUCCACACCUCCCCCCACCGGGCAGUGACAACAGUAACACGUUAUUUUUAUCCGCUGCAGUAGUGGCACUUUAAGGGAAGAAAGUGAUUGGCAUAUUGUUGAAUCCCUACAUCAGAUAUGUGGGAGGGGGCGUGCUCCAGUGCGGCAGCCCCAGCCCCAGCCCCACGGUGUGGAAGGGGCUGUAAUGAGCAGUGAUGAGCGAUGUUUGGCACAGCCAGAGCUGACAUCAGUCAUUCCAGCACAGAGCUAGUGUGCACAUCCUGAAAACGCUCGGCUCCCUGGAAGCAUUGGAGGGAGUAAGUCAAGCAAGGUACUGCUGGCCGGGUCUGUGUGACUGGUGCAGCUAACGGCAUCUAGGAAACGCACAGCACACAGAUCUGAAAAGCCAUCAAAUGAGCAGAUGAAGGGUGACUGCUAUUUUUAGAGAACAAAGGACGUAGAAUGAUUGUAGUCAUUUAAAAAAAGUGAUUAAAUGGUUAUAUAGCAUUAAGAAAAUUAAGGCCAUGAUGGAUUAGUUUCUGUCUGCAGGAAAAGAAUGUUCUUCCUCCCAGAUGAAGUUCUAGGACAUUUAUAAAAUUGUGGUUUCUCCAUCUGAAGAAUGAGAAAAUUGAACUAAGUGAUCUCCACAGUCCCUGUUAGCUCCAGAAAUAAUGGCAAUGUCUCCCAAAAAAGACAGACAGAUCUGCAGCUGCAAACGUCAGUGCUAUUUCUAGCCUUUGAGGUGCCCAGGAGGAAGAACUGUGAGACCCCGGAUUCUUGGCAGACCCUAGAGGAAGCAGGGAAAAGCACUCUACGUGUUCUGGAGAUAUCACUCAGGAUGUGGACUUCGAAGACUGUGUUGCCCAGAGCACCCUACCUCUGGUUUCCAGAGGGGGUUCCUGCAGAGAUUAAGAGCACAGCAACAAACAGGGGUGCCGUUUCCUCGCUGCUAUCAUUCUGGAAGUGGGUGCAACCCUGGGCUACUGCAGGCCUGCCAAGUAGUGGUCUUCCCAGCUCUCAAGCCAUUUCCACAAGUCUUGUAUCUACAUAACGCUUUGGGCCUGGCAGUCACAAUGGUGUCCUGCCCACUCCGUGGGCUCCUCAGUACGGCCUGUUGCUGUCUUUCACCCUGUCCUCACCAUUGAAAAAGGUCAUUUACAAAAGCGUGUUUCCGAAGUGCUCGUGGGGUCCAUAAGUGACAGACAAGUGUCAGCGCUGGAGCCUGACUCCAAACUAGUGUUAUCCUGCCUGUGGGUACAGAGGAGGGGGCCAGGCAUGGAAAGUGAGGACGCUGGCACACGACAGGUGUCCGAGCAAGGGCACCAGCUGAGCCAGACUGAACAAGAGGAAGCAGGAGGACAGGGACCAAAGCAACGUUCAUAUUCAAAGUUAUGCGAGGCAAUCAGAAACGAGCACACACAGGGAAAGGACAAACACAGCAGUCAGGAAAGAGCGGCAGAAAAGCCAUGAAAGCUGACAGAGAUUUGAAGGAACGUCUUAGGAGCACUGUAUUUUUGUUUCCUGUGUGAUCCAUAGGUACCUUAUUGGAAAGGAAUAAAUGGUGGCUGUUUGCUGAUGGUGGCUUUUAUGUGGAACUCCAGGCUGGACACCGAGGCGGAGUUUUAAGGCAAGAAAGUUGAAAGGAGGACUUUGUGGGUUGCCUUGGUGCUCUGAUGAAAAGCGGUGUCACAGUAAACGACGGAAAUAAAAGAGCACAUCAGGGAACGCUCAACAAACGUUUGAGGAAACGUCUCUUCCUAGUCCUUAUAUUUAAAAACAAAAUAGAGCUAAACCUGUUUCCACUGUGCCCUAACCUCUCAGUGUUUGUUGUUUGUUGUUACUGAUGCAUCUGCGCAGCCACUUUUGGCUGACUGACCACUUUUAUUUCAGCAUUCACUGAACACACGGCAAGCUCUGUGCCAGGCCUUCGGGGGAGGGUAAGACUUAGAAGACUAGCGCCUGUCCUCAGGGAACUGACUUUCAUAGGCAAGGCAGACCUGUCAGCCAUUCAGGUUUCCCUGUGGUGAGAGCCUUGCGGGGUUAGGGCUGUGUGUU